UUUGGUACAGACUACAGACUGGUGCGUCCACAGGUCCUUGGAUCCAACAGGAAACGAAAGAGGGAUGUGGAGGAUGAGUGUAAUGCAGAGGGCAGGUUCUUUGUCUCCUCCUCAGGGGGGGGCAACUUACAACCCAUCAAAUGACCGGAUGCGGCUGCACUCAAAAUACAACCUCCCGUCCGUGACCAGCCAGAUGGCACGGAGAACAUUUGAGGCGGCAGCUCAUCGCUUGACAGAAGCCAUUGGUGGCCAAUUACCUGACCCAUUCCAGCGCAACAGCCGAGAAGCAUUACCGCAUGAAGCAGUGUGAUAUCAUUGUGAAGACCUCUCAGCAGUUGAGCAACAUGAGUAAAGUCUCAAGUGCUGAGCCUUCUGGGGAAGGUACCAGGCAUGAGUCUUCUGAGGAGUGUUCCAGCCAUGGUGACCAUUACGCUGUCCCAUAUUCAUCACCCAUCAAACAGCCAGUGAUACGUCUGCCGAGGCUCCCCUCUGACAAUGAGAAGGUCAAAUUCUUCAAGGCAUUUGAAACCCUCCUGCAAACUUACCUUCUUUGGGAAUGGGAAAAGGCCAGAAGUGAAACAACGUUGGAAUGUGUCUCAAGAAUUUCAGCGGAAGCUUCACACUUAUUGGGGGAGGAAGCAGUUGGAAAUGCAUGAAGCACAUACCCGCUGUGAGUAUUUUCUGACCAUAUUUAACAUUAUUUUCAAGUAAAAAUGAUUGCACGAUUCAAAGAUGUCUAUUAUUGCAUUCAUGACUAACAGAACUUUUGUUAUUUAUUUUGACAGCAAACUUCAGUCGGCGUGAGCCAACAAAAGAGCGACUCGAAGCGUGGAUUAAAAGGCAGGGAUGGAAGAUGACUGCCGGCAUCUGCGAUGAAGUUCUUAAGAACUGGGCACCAUCUGGAUCUGAGGACUGUAUCACGGACAGCAAACAGAUACAGAAAUUGGUGCGAACACAGAAGUGGAGAGGACUUCACAUGAGUGAAUUUGAAGGCAAGGGCAGAGGGAUCAUUACGACCCGCAUAUUUGAGGCUGGCGAGGUGCUCUGUGACUAACAUGGAACUGUUGUCACAUUCAGUGAGGGCCAGAAAAUACACCAUAGCACCACUGACAGGGAGACUGCAUAUGUCUUCUUUUUCAAAAAUGAAAAAAGGAGAGUCAGUGUGCAUUGACGCCCACUCAGACACCUGUGAUUGCCACCCUGCGAUGCAGACUUUCGGCAGGUUGAUCAAUCAUUCCAAAAAGAAAGCCAACAUCACGGCAAAGUACUGCAG